UACGUAGGGUGCAAGCGUUGUCCGGAAUUAUUGGGCGUAAAGAGCUCGUAGGCGGUCUGUCGCGUCUGCUGUGAAAACUCAGGGCUUAACCCUGAGCUUGCAGUGGGUACGGGCAGACUAGAGUGCGGUAGGGGAGACUGGAAUUCCUGGUGUAGCGGUGAAAUGCGCAGAUAUCAGGAGGAACACCCGGUGGCGAAAGGCG
rnacentral:rRNA from 1 species